UACGGGGGGGGCAAGCGUUGUUCGGAAUCAUUGGGCGUAAAGGGCGCGUAGGCGGCCGAUCAAGUCGGAGGUGAAAUCCCUCGGCUCAACUGAGGAAUUGCCUUCGAUACUGUUCGGCUUGAGUCCUGGAGAGGGUAGCGGAAUUCCCGGUGUAGCGGUGAAAUGCGUAGAGACCGGGAAGAACACCAGUGGCGAAGGCGGCUACCUGGACAGGUACUGACGCUGAAGCGCGAAAGCUAGGGGAGCAAACAGG
rnacentral:rRNA from 1 species